AGAGCGGCGUACGGGUGCGGAACACGUGUGCAAGCUUGCUUUAUCUGGGGGAUAGACCUUUCGCAACAGGCAAGAUUAAUACCCCAUAAUCAUGUUGCAAUGGCAUCAUUCGACAUUGAAAACUCCGGUGGAUAGAGAUGGGCACGCGCAAGACUUAGACUAAGUUGGUGACGGUAACGGUCACCAAGGUCUACCGACUCUUAUACGGGGGGCCUGACGAGGGUGAUCCCCCACACUUGGUACUUGAGACACGGACCAACGACUCCUACGGGAAGGCCAGCCAAGUUGAGGCACAUAUUGGACAAUGGGUGAGAGCCUGAUCACAGCAUCCCAGGUGAAGGACGAUUGGACCUAUGGGUUGUAAACUUCUUAUGUAUAGGGAUAAANCUAACCUCGUUGAGGGUAGCAUGAAAGGUACUAUAAGAAAGUAAGGCACCCGGGUUAAAACUUCACGAUGGCACAAGCAAGACAGGUGGGUAAAUAAUGGAAGGGGUUGCAAAAGCGGUUAAUCCACGGAUAUUAAUAUGGGAGUAAUAAANAGGGUACAGUAAUANGGCGGGAUCUGUAAGUCAGAUGGUUGGNAAAAACUGUACAUUCCAA
rnacentral:rRNA from 1 species